ACGGAAUAGAUACCCGGGUAGUCCUGGCAGUAAACGGUGCACACUUGGUGUGGGGGGAUUCGACCCUCCCCGUGCCGGAGCUAAACGCGUUAAAGUGUAGCCGCCUGGGAAGUACGGUCGCAAGAUUAAACUCAAAGAAAUUGACGGGGACCCGCACAAGCGGUGGAGUAUGUGGCUUAAUUCGAUGCAACGCGAAGAACCUUACCUGGUCUUGACAUGCACUGUGUCUCCAAUGAAAGUUGGAUAGGGUAGCAAUACCCGCUUUGCACAGGUGCUGCAUGGCUGUCGUCAGCUCGUGUCGUGAGAUGUUGGGUU
rnacentral:rRNA from 1 species